rnacentral:rRNA from 1 species
GACGAGGUGGACAAACGUUAAUCGGAAUUACUGGGCGUAAAGCGUGCGCAGGCGGUUUUGUAAGUCUGUCGUGAAAUCCCCGGGCUCAACCUGGGAAUUGCGAUGGAGACUGCAAGGCUAGAAUCUGGCAGAGGGGGGUAGAAUUCCACGUGUAGCAGUGAAAUGCGUAGAGAUGUGGAGGAACACCGAUGGCGAAGGCAGCCCCCUGGGUCAAGAUUGACGCUCAUGCACGAAAGCGUGGGGAGCAAACAGG